rnacentral:lncRNA from 1 species
GAGAUGGUUAAAAGAGCUCAGAGACCACACCGACUCUAGCAUUGUCAUAAUGCUGGUGGGUAAUAAGGCAGAUUUGCGUCAUCUGCGGGCUGUUUCAACUGAGGAUGCCAAGGCGUUUGCUGAGAAGGAAAGUACGUUUUUCAUGGAAACAUCUGCAUUGGAGUCCAUGAACGUGGACAAUGCCUUCACAGAAGUGCUCACUCAAAUACACCGCGUUGUUAGCAGGAAAGCUCUUGAAGUAGGAGAUGACCCUGCAACAUUGCCGAAGGGGCAGACUAUUAAUGUUGGAGGGAAGGAUGAUGUUUCUGAAGUAAAGAAAGCCGGGUGCUGUUCUUCUUAGAACAAAGAGUAGUAACACAAAUGGUUGAAGAGGUUCUCUUUAUUUUGAGCGCAAAAAUUGACAUGGCAGUGGUACAUCUCCCUCCAUAUAGUAGGAAGUAACCACAUGGAUUGCUCAUCAAUGAGAGCUUUAUUAACUGGACCACUAGGCAUUACUGAAUUGAGUGCAGCCCCAAGAUUGAUUAUCCAAGUGGCUUCAUAGCAUUCUUUAUCCUCGUUUCUAUAUUUUACUUCCCUUGGUCAAUGAUUAUAGUAUUAGCUUCUUGUGGACCUCCAUGAUAGGGUAUAUUUGUUUGGAAAAGAUUUGAACUGAUACAUGUAUGAACCCAUUUUAUCCUGCCUUGUACUUGAUUGUUUCAUUAGUUAUGGACUGACGAAUAUUUUCAAUUUCUCAUGUUACAGAAGACUGCCUUGUACUUGAUUGUUUGAUUAGUUAUGGACUGACGAAUAUUUUCAAUUUAUCAUGUUACAGAAGAUAUUUGUACUCUCUCUGUGUUUGUGCUAAUUUUGUACUCGUGAUUCUGAUUAGUUGUUGACUGAUUGUCUUAUUACUGCCCAUCUUUUGGAACAAUGUUUUGGUUUAGAUUCAGUAAUGUUUACUGUGAUGUGAGUAUGCCGAGGACGCUUUUUCAGUCUUAUACUUUGAGGUAGAUCUUAAAAGUUUGCCUUCGUUGCAGGGAACUGAUUAGCUCUUUAAUUUGGGGUUGCUCAAGAAAAUCAUAAAUACCAGUUUGAACGAACUGGGACAGACAACUUUUUUAUGGUACUAAAUCUUUUUUGUUAAUCACCAAGAGAAUUACAAAAGUUAAGCUAGACCACAACCCGAUCUGCUGUGUUCUCUAAUGAAGCUCAAAAACAAACAAAAGCUGCUAAUACUUACCUUUAAAGGAAUUAAGAAGCCCACCUCCUAGGGAGGGUUUCUUCUUAAUCCCAUGUCUAAAGUUUUAAGAAUCACUUAAACACCAGAAACUCAAAUCAGCUAAGACCAAAAAAUAGAAGUGAUCGGUCAGUAAGUACGAUGAGUAAUACAAAAAUAAAAGAAAUAACAAUAAUACUGAUGCAAAACUAGAGCUAUCACUGGAUGGGCAAAACUGCAUAGCUACAAACCGGACAUGCUUUCUUCCUCGUCAGUAGCCACUUCUUGGCGCAAUCUGCAUGAAAGUCAUGGCCACAGUGUAGUGUGCCAAUGAUAUCUUCAUCUUCAUAUUCAUAUGCACAUAUGAAACAUGCAUCUUUUUCCUCAUCAUCACACAUUGGACCAUAAUAUGUUCUCGUUCCUAAAUACUCUGAUUUGUCAAAAACAUGCAUCCUUUUCCUCAUCAUCACACAUUGGACCAUAAUAUGUUCUCGUUUCUAAAUACUCAGAUAUUUCAACCUCAAACUCCUCUUCUUCUAUUUCUUUAUCAAGACUAUCAUAUAUUUCAACCCCAAACUCCUCUUCUUCUAUUUCUUUAUCAAGACUAUCAUGGAUGGGCAGAACUGGAUCGCUACAACACGGACAUGUCUUCUUCCUCAUCAGUAGCCACUUCUUGGCGCAAUCUGCAUGAAAGUCAUGGCCACAGUGUAGUGUGCCAAUGAUAUCUUCAUCUUCAUAUUCAUAUGCACAUAUGAAACAUGCAUCUUUUUCCUCAUCAUCACACAUUGGACCAUAAUAUGUUCUCGUUCCUAAAUACUCUGAUUUGUCAACCCCAAACUCCUCUUUUUCUAUUUCUUUGACAUAACAUGCAUGUUUUUCCUCAUCAUCACACGUUGGACCAUAAUAUGUGCUCGUUUCUAAAUAUUCAGAUAUGUCAACCCUAAACUCCUCUUCUUCUAUUUCUUGAUCAAGACUGUCAUAUAUGUCAACCCCAAACUCCUCUUUCUCCUCUUCUUCAAUUUCAUCAUCAAGAUUGUCAUCAGAUUGUGGCACCGAAAACACAUAACGAUUAACACUAUACUGAUCAGAUAUAUCAACCCCAAACUCUUCUUUUUCUAUCUCUGCAUCAUGUUUAUCAAGAAUACUAUGAGACGGCACCCAAGAACAAUGAGGCAUGAUACUAUAAUUGACACUCAUUCGAGCUGUUGUAGCCAUAUGUCUGGGCACUUGAUAUCUUGUUUGCAGCGACAUAGUAGUUAUGAGACAUGUUGUAGAAUGAAAGUUGUUGGGAUUAUAGGGUUUAAUGUUUACAGAGUUAUAUAUAUAGGCCGAAUUAAUACCCAAUUUGAUUGGGAAUAGGACUAAUACCGCGUUUCCUUUGGAGUCUUGCGUAUCAAGAUUCUUUCCCUAUUCUAUUAUUUUCCUUUUUCUAUUUCUUCUUUUUUAUUCUAGACUACAUAAUUAGGCUACUAAAAUUAUUCCUAUUAAAUAUAAAAUAUGUAAUUCAAAUAAUUAUUAUUUCUUAUUGAGAUAAGUAAAUUUUUUAAAUCAUUUGUUAUCAGCUUGUUGCCAAUCCUUAAUCACAUAAUUCUUACUUUAUACUACUUUUUAGGGAUUUAGUUGAGGUAAUCAUAGAUGAAAGUGGUAGAUAAGUAAAAUAGUAGUCCACUGAAACUUAACCAAUCUUCUCAACUUUGAUUUUGUAUGUUUUUUUCAAGGUCUUAGUAGAUUUGCUUCAAGCUAAUUAGAUCGUGACACUCCCUAUAUUGGAACUAAAAUUAAAGUGCUAGAAGAAUAUGUGGAAGUUACAAAAUUAAAUCACUCGGUUUAAUAUACAUAGUGAUAAGAAAUUAUUUUUCGUGUAUCCAUACCAAAAUAGAAAUUAAUAUAAAUAGUUGCCUCAGUUAAAAUCUUAUUAAGAUCAACAAUGUCUCAAAAAAAAUGAAUUACAUGAGUGGGGAAUGUACUAUCAGUUUUAUAAAAAAAAAACUAAUUAUAGAAAUGCAUCUAAAAAGCUUGAAUAAUAAACUCCAACUAAAAAUACGUAUGUGUCUGUUACCAAUACACGAGACUCAAACAUAAAUUGUUGAUUUACCCUUUUAAACUCUGUAAGUGGAUUCCAUAUUGGGUAAAAUUACAAUUACAAUUAAUCAUAAAUAUAUAAUUAUUUCUUGUAUUUAUUAUUUGGCCUUAUUAUUUAAUACAAAUUAUCUUCUUGUAAGAUGAUAUUAGGAAUACGGUAAAUAUCCUUUCUGUUAUGAAAUAAUAUAAGAACAAGAACAAUAGAAAAGUAGAGAGAGGAGUAUUCUUAUUGAUACUUUUAGAUGGAUUUACAAUGGAAUAGAAGCCCUAUAUUUAUAGGGAGGUGGUGACUUAGCCACCAAGUAAUAAACCCUAAAAUCUCUCUAAAUAUAAACAUUUACCUUAAAUAGAGUUCUAUUUAUAACACUUUCGAAGUUUUUACUUCAAUUUCUCUUGUUGCAGUUACUUUUGUAAUUCUUAUUUGUCAUAAGAAAGUUGGAUAUCAUCUUUGUUAAAAAGUUACAAUUAAUUUUAAAGCUACAUACUUCCUUAUUCAUGUUAUAUUACUAGUCUCUGGCCAAAUACUUUGCCUACCUAUGUUAUGUUAAUGAAUAUACAAUAUUAAAAACAUAUAUAUUAUUAAGUAAUAUAUUUGAUUUAUUAUAUAAAAGUAAAAAAGUAAAAGUAUUUUAUUAUGAUUUCGGACUUUACCUCCUUCAACCAAAGUUAUCCAAUUAUCUUCUUUCUUUUGAGAUUAGUUAGCAUAAUAUAUAAAAUAUAAAGAAAUUAAAUGAUAUGUUUGGUGUAGUCUAUUAAUUAAUCUCCUCUAGAUAUUGAUUAUUUGAACUUUAUGAGUAACAUUUGAACUUGAAGUAUAUAAUGAUUUUAGGUAAUAGGUAUAGAUUUUGAUAUUAUAUAUAUAGCAUAUCGUUUAAUAAUUUCAUAUACUACUCUAUGAUUAGGGUAGAAGAUUAGUAGGUAAUCUAUCAUUCCCUUUGUCUUCUUCAAUUCAAUAGUAUUAGUGUUAGUUUAAUAUGUUGUCCCUUUAUUCUUAGAUUGCUAUUACUACAAUGUAAUUGCCACCUUAGCUUCAGUCCAUUUUUUAUUUUGUUGUUGUUUAUACUUGUUGUCAUUAUAUCAUUUCUUUAGCCGAAGGUCUUUCGGAAACAAUAUUUCUGUCUUUCAAGGUAAGGGUAAGGUUGCGUGUAUCUUACCCUUCCCGAAUCCUACUUGUGAGAUUUUACUGAAUUUGUUGUACCAGAGAAACGUAAAACACCUUAUCUGAAUUUAAGAAUACUAUUAAAAAGAAUGUACUUUUCGUAGGGUUCAAUUUCUAAUGGAAACCACCGUUAAAAAACUCAGGAAUUAAAAAAAAAAAUACUCCAUCCGAUCCAUAAUAAAUGAUCUUUUGGCCUUUUUUAUUUCGUAUAAAAUGUUAUUUUACAUCAUGAAGAAAUUAAUUUUAUUUUUUCAAAAUUUACCGUUAUCUACAUAUCCCAAUAUGUCAAAGUUACAAUAAUUUUAAUUAAGGGCAAUUUCGUAAAUAUAUCUUGUUUUUCUAGGAAAUAGUAUUUUCUUAAGAGUGUGCCAAAAGGUAAAAAAAAAAGUCACUUAUUUGAAGGGGCGGGAAAUAAAAAAGAAUUUAAUAGGUUAAGUAAAGAAUUUCUACUAAAAGACAAAAGAAAGUCAUGUUUCAGUAGCAAAAACUAAUAGAUCACCUGCAGUAAUUAAUAUUCUAGUACUACCUGCCAAUACAUAUGCAUUUUCAUUGCAGCCAUGUAUCUUCACGAAAAUUUAAAUGUCCGAUUACAACUCUCUUCCUUCACCCAUUUAAAACUCUUCUUUGUAUAUUUUUUUACCUCAAAUUGGACAUCUAUUUCACUUAAAUAAUGCCGAAUUUUUGUUAUCACCAUCAGAAGAAACAGCAAUUGACAGGCCAAACUGCAGGGGCGAAUUUAGGGGCGAAAGAGUAUUCAUCCGAAUCCACUUUACCGAAAAAUUACAUAAUAUAUGUACGUCAAAAUCUAGUUUUUACCUUUAUGUAUCAUGUUUUAAAUCCUUUUAACAUAACUUAGUAGUCAACGGGAUUCAAAAUCUUUGUAAAGUCAUUGGUUCCACGUCGAACAUAACCUCCCUACCAUCUCAGACCAACUUCAAGCAUAUCCUCUCGAUAAACCAAAAUUAGACCACAAUGAGGUAGAAUCCAUUAAACAGGACUGGGAAACAAUAGCAGAUAAGAUAUAAAGUCAUGUUAUGCUAGAAGAUACAACUUUUAUCAGUAUAAUAGUUGUACGCAAAGUGUUACUUUUUGAAUAAAGUUAGAAGAUACAACUUUUAUUAGUUUACACUGAACCCAUUCUAUAGUUUCAACGAAUUCGUAUGUAUAUCACAUUGCUCUUCACGCUUUCUUGCUAUUAAUAACAAGUAACAAAUUACUUUGAAGCUUCAGAUAUUACUAUGGUCUUUAAAGUUUUAGGGGAAAAAGACACUAUCCUUCUUCAACUUUGGCAGCCUAAACUUGAGCAUUCUUUUAGCUUGCCGCUUGUUUAAAUUGAUCUUUACUUUGUAUAAAACCAUCAAUUCCUACUUAUUUCACUCCUUUUACAGAAAAUGUGCCAAGUGAGACAACCUUAGCGGGCGUUUGGACACAAGAAGUGUAAAAUUCCAAAAAAAAAAAAAAGAAAAAAAAAUUCAAGUGAAAAUAAUAUUUGAAAAUUAGAGUUGUCUUUUGACGUGAAUAUAAUUUUGGGUUGUUUUUGAAGUUUUAUGAGGGUAUGGGUGAAAAUUUUGAAAAACAGUUUUUUGGAGUUUUUAAAAUUUUCAAAAACUUCAAAAUGUAUCUUCAAGUGAAAAUUGGAGAUUUUAUGACCAAACGCUGAUUUCCAAAAAAAAAAAUUUCUUAUGUUCAAAUGGACUCUUAAAGUAUAUACAAUUAAGUCCAUUCCCAGAUCAAUAGACUAGCGGGAAGAAUUGCUCAGAUACCCGUGAGUGAAGAUUAUUUGGGUCGUAUUAUAAAUGCCUUGGCUAAACCUAUUGAUGAUAGAGGUGAAAUUUCAGCUUCUGAAUUUCGAUUAAUUGAAUAUGUCGCCGCGGGUAUUAUUUCACGCCAUUCCGUAUAUGAGCCUCUUCACACCGCGCUUAUUGCUAUUGAUUCGAUGAUCCCUAUAGGACGUAGUCAGCGAAAAUUAAUUAUUAGGAACAAACAUACCAGUAAAACAAGGAACACAUAAAAGUAAUUCGCUUAAUUAUCAAGCAUCCCUUACUGUCUGCACAACAUCAAUUGUUAGUCCGUUUCUUAAAGCCAAUAAUUUAAAACUCCAAGUCACUGUGAAAAAAUAUGUAUGUAUCCGUUGGGAAUAUGACUCACCCUACCUUGAUUUAUGGAUAAAUUAGGAUUAGUAUCCGUACGAUGCGUGGAGAAUUAAAAAAACAAUAUACAUUAUAUAUUUUAAUUCGUUAGUGUUGAUAUUAUCUUUACAACCGAAUAUUAAAUAUAUUUUGAGGCUCCAGUAAAACUUUUACUCUGCGACCCUAAUAGAUAUUCCAUGAAAAAUAAUGAUACUAUACAAUUUGCUUUAUAUGAAUGUUCCAUAAUAAAUAAUGAUGCUAUAAAAUUUGCUUGAUAUGAAGCAUGUGAGCAACAUCAGUUUAAUGAUCUCUUUCAUUUUUCAUCUUCUACAUGCCCUUGAUCAAUUUUCUUAAAUAUGUUAGUAUAUUUUUUUAACACAUCUUGAACUUUAAGUUUAUUACUUAAUAUACUAUCUUUAAAUUUUGGUUCAUCAUUGUAUGCUCAUUAUCUAGUAUAUACGCACACACAUAGGAGGCAAAAAAGUGAGAAAAGAUUUAAAACGUAUGAAAUAUUGUGAAAAAAAUUCUCAAUUCUCGUAAGCAUUCGAGAUAUAUGAGUAAUUAUCUAAAUUCCAGUAUGUUAAUAUUCUCACGGAGUUACUGACAUAAAUUUCAGCUUCAUUCAAUUAUCCACAUUUAAAAUAUAUAUCAAUGAGAGCAAGUUCACUUUGCAAUUAUGGAUCAACCUUUCCCAUUUUAUAGCCGCUAUGUUGUCAAUGCAGUUGUAUUAACUAAUAUGUUUGAGCUUAUCAUAUUUUUGUAUCCUCAUUUCAUUGACACAAAUACUUAAUGACUUGCAUAUGAACAAUAAUCACUUUACAUAAGUUAUAUAUACACAACUAUAGUGAAAAAAGAUUACCUAUUUGGAACUGACCAUUCAUUAUAUCAUGCAAAGUAGGAUUGAUUUUCUUCAUUUUCGAUUAUGCUCCAUCUGCCAUUUGUGGGAUCAAUACUUUGUAGAAGAAACAGUGAAAGAUAAAACAAUUACCGAAGAGUUCAUUUUUAUCAACAUCAAGUUGAUUUAUCAAAUACCCAUAAAGUUUAAUGUUGAAGAUAUUCAAAAUAAACUGCAGAACAUUGAUUUUAACAUAUCCCUCCUAUGAGAAAACAUUAGUUUCAAUUUAUGCUUAUUGAUCUUAAAUUUCAUAUCGUUUGGUCAAACUACAAAAUUCUUCAUAACAUACAAUCUCAUCUCUUGUAUUUUUGUUUUAAAGAUACGUAUAACGGACCGUCCAACAGUUGCAUAAAUUCGAUCUCCCUAAAACAAACAAAAAAUUAAGUUAGUAGGAUAUGUCAUGUUAUAUAAAGAUCAUGAAUUAUUUUGUUUGUAAAAACCCACAACAUAUUAAUGUAUCAGUAGGCAUGAGAAAACUAUCGCUAAUAGUCAUAGUAAACUGGAUGACACAUUAUAUUACUAAACAUGCACUAACAUCCAAAUAAAUUUUUUAUCUUGGCAGCAUGGUCAUAAUUUGAUCAUAACUCUCUGAUAAUGACUUAGCCGUUUGAAUUGAAAAUCUGCCAAGAAGAAAAAAUCCUUUUCUAUUAUGUAUUAAGGGUAAAAGUUGCACAAACUAACAUAUGAAAGCAAUAUUUAAUACCAAACUAAAAGAGUAAAAACUCACAAAAUUAGCAAAUUUCAUUGAAUAUGCAACAACAACAACUACCCAGUAUAAUCACACAAAGUGGGUUCUGAUUCGUUGAAUAUGAAAAAAAAAUACAAAUAAACUUGUGUGUAAAUUAAAAUCUUGACUUAUUUAUAUAUUCAAUCACAUAUGCAAAUUUCUUACAUAAAAUCAUAAAGAAAAAUAGAUUUUCUUUAACAAAUUUGUAUUGCCUAACACCAGUUCAAAUUGAAAAUAAAACUAUAAUAAAUCUCUAUCUAGACCCUAACAAACCCGUAAUUAAAGUUAAUCAAAUAUACGCAUAAGUUGAAAAAAAUACAAAACAACUGGAAUAUGCACAUUACCUGGUAAUGGAAAAGAUUAAUAGCACUUAAAAAUGUAUGUACUUUUUCAUCAUGAAUAAGUAAUUCAAGGGGCUGCUAAUUUAUUACGAUCUGGUACGUGCCAUAUUUAACAACUCCACCCCAUUUCUAUACAACCAUAUUUUGUAGUUUCAAAUUGAUUGUAGGUUUGUUUAUAAUGAACUGUACGUAAAGUAUUUUGUAGUAGGUCAUAUGAUUAAUAUAUUAAAAACUUUAAGAAGCAAAACCCUAAUUAAAAGAGAUUCUUAAUAGUAUUCCUUAUAUAGAACAGUGCCAGCUCUAAUAUGCAAUAUAUAAAAAAUCAAUUAUUAAGUAGAUUUACAAUUUUGGAGGAUUCUCUAAAGGAAAACAAUAUUUAAUAUUAAUUUCUUAGAUAAAUAAGAGACAUUUCUAAUAUGCAAUUCAUUAAAAAAAAGCAAUUAUUAAGUAGACACGCAAAUCUGGAGAAUGUUCAAAAGGAAAAGGUAUUAAUAUUAUUUCCUUAAAUAAUUAGUAUAGUUCUAAUAUACCUUUUAUAAAAAAGUAUUCAAUUAUUAAUAUGGAAAAAAUUCAAGAGAAUGUAAUAUUUUCUUAUUUUAAUCGAUGACAACACUUUAUGCAGUUUAUAAAUUUUGUUUUAAUUAUUAAUUAGAUUAGAUUAGAUACACAAUUUUGGAGAAUGUUAAAAAGGAAAAUAUAUUUAAUAUUAUUUCCUCAUAUAACUCGGUGACAGCUCUAGUAAUUCUUUAACAAAUAAAUUAAUUAGUAAUUAGAUACAAAAUGCUAGAGAAUGUUUCUUGAACAGGAAAAGCUAUUUAGUACUAUUGUGUUAUACAAUUCAAUGACAACUUUAUGCAAUUCAAAAAAUCCAAUUAUUACUUAGAUACAAAAGAAUAUCAAUUAAUAACUGUUAUUAAUGUUAUAUAAAUAGAAUCAAACAAAUUAUAGAAAUACUAUUUCAACUUAAAAUCAAUGUGUAAUUCUAGAGAAUGUUCAAAAGGAAAUGUAUUUAAUAUUAUUUCCCCAUAUAACUCGGUGACAGCUCUAGCAAUUCUAUAACAAAUAAAUCAAUUAGUAAUUAGAUACAAAAUUCUAGAUAAUGUUUCUUGAACAGGAAAAGAUAUUUAGUACUAUUUUGUUAUACAAUUCGAUGACAACUUUAUGCAAUUCAAAAAUCCAAUUAUUACUUAGAUACAAAAGAAUAUCAAUUAAUAACUUUUAUUAAUGUUAUACAAAUAGAAUCCAACAAAUUAAAGAAAUAUUGUUUCAACUUAAAAUCAGUGUGCAAGAUAUAAAAUUAAAAUUUAAUUGAUUCUUUCUCAAAAAAAGAUACUUACCAUAAUUGAAUUAUACACAAAGUUUUAAUUAAAUUUACUUAUAGUAAUGUAUAUUGUACACAAAUAAAGUCAGAUACAAAGCUAGUACUAAACAAAGAAUUAGUACUUAAACUUAAAAAUAAUAUGUAAGAUACAAAACAAAAAUUUAAUUGAUUUUCCUCAAAAAAGGAAUAUCGGUCAUAACUGAAUUAUACAUAAAAAUUUAAUUAAAAAUAUCUACAAUAAUGUAUAUUGUAUCCAAAUAAAAUCAGAUACAAAAUUCGAUCAAUUAAAGAAUAUUCAUCAUUCCUCAAUUGUUUCUAUAACAGACGUUCCUACCAUAAUUAGACGCUCCGACACCAAUUAUACAAAAAAAAGGUAAACAAAAUUAUAUUACUCUAAAUUAUUUAUUUUCCAAAUUAAAAUUUAAAUUGAAUAGUACGUCAUCAAUCUGAAGAGUCAACAUACGUCAAAUAUAUUUCCUAUCAUAAUUAAAUAAUAAUGUUUAUUGAACUACUACUUCUAUUAAUUAUGUUUCCAUUUAUAAUUCAAAUUUUUUAAUGUUGUCUUAAAAGUGCCAAGCGGCUUCAUUUUAAUUUGCUACUUGGCCCAAUCUCAUGCUUCACUAGCCUCCUUUUAAUAUAAUAUAGAUGUGAGUGCAAUUAAAUAUGGCAAUUAAUAGCAAAGUGAAAAAUAUUAACCUAAGAAGCAAUAAAACAUCAGAAGUUCGAUCCCCUCCUUUCCUGAGCUGCAACUCUUCAAUUUCUCUGUCGUUUGUUUAACCAUUUUAUGCCGCGGGAAGGCUAACAAACACAAGAACCUGAUGUCAUAGUCCCACAAGAUGGCUCAGGAAACUACAACACAAAAAAGGGUGCAGCAAUCUCGGCAGCUCCAAACAACAACAUUGAAAAAUAUCAAAUGGUCAAAGUUGCAUAUACCAUCUGAUAGAUCAAAUAAGAUGGAUUAAGUUUAACGGAGAGAGUUCUAAAUUCUUUAUUUUAUUCUGCAGUAUUUUCCUCUACUGUUGUUUGGUGCUGCAAGAUUGUGCAUAUUGUUGUAUUGAAGUUUCCGAGCCAUAUUUAGAAACUAUUUCAUGAAGUUAACUUUCUUGUUUCAAGUUGCAAUUAACCUGUACAUUUAUAAAUCUGGUUAUUCAAGUCAGUUUUAUAAAGAUGAGAUUAAUUUAACAUAGCUAAAGAGUUGAGGAUUAUAUUGGGGUGAUAAAUCAACAACACCACAUCAGCAAAAGAACUUCUUGCCAAAGUCAAAAGCAUAGCUUUUAUUGUUAUUUACUUCCUAUAUGUCUAAUAACCCGUUUGUUCAAGUUGCAAAAAUCAGUUUUUUUUAAUAGCAUUUUUUCUCAAAAGUUAUUUUGGUAAGAAACAAUUUAUGUUUGACUAAUUAAUUUGAAAAGUACUUUUGAGCAACAAUUAGUGUUUGACCAAGCUUUAAUAAACUGCUUCUAAGUGUAUUUUUCUCAAAAAAACUUUUCAGAAAAUUACUUUUGAAGAUAAGUCACUUUUUUUUUGCUUCUCAAAAACUGCUUCAACUUCUCCUCAAAAGCACUUUUUUUUAUUUUCAAAAGCUUGGCCAAACACCUUAAUUUUAGAAAAAAACACUUUUGAUAAAAAAAUAUUUUUGCCUCAAAAGAAGCUUGGCCAAACACGCUAUAAAUGUUUUUUCCUUAUUCUUUUGGAGGGGGGGAUAUCGGGGAUGGAACCAGUCUGAAUAAUCAUGUAGCCAACACAAUUUACAAGCAAGAACUCGGAUUUAUAGCUGAUAUAGUUUAGAAACAUGAAUAGAACUCUUUAAAACUUGAUAUCAGAGGUAAAUUCUUCAAUUCCCACCAUUUCAUUAGUAAAAUAUCAACAACAUUGAACAAACAAUAAUCUCUUGAGAGAGUUGCAAUUGAUUAAGGACAAAGAGCUAACCUGGUACGUAUAACCUGGUACCUAGCUUCAGCUUUUAA